rnacentral:rRNA from 1 species
CUAUUAGAUGAGCCUACAUUAGAUUAGCUAGUUGGUAAGGUAAUGGCUUACCAAGGCUAUGAUCUAUAGCUGGUCUGAGAGGACGAUCAGCCACACUGGAACUGAGAUACGGUCCAGACUCCUACGGGAGGCAGCAGUGGGGAAUAUUGGACAAUGGGCGCAAGCCUGAUCCAGCUAUGCCGCGUGAGUGAAGAAGGCCUUCGGGUUGUAAAGCUCUUUCAAUAGGGAAGAUAAUGACGGUAC